UAGCCUAGUGGUUAAGGCUACGGAUCGCCAAUCCGGAGACGGCGGGUUCGACUCCCGAU
rnacentral:tRNA from 1 species